rnacentral:rRNA from 1 species
UGGUGGAGUGAUUUGUCUGGUUAAUUCCGUUAACGAACGAGACCUUAACCUGCUAAAUAGACAGCGUUUGGUUCGCCAAGCGUCCGUCUUCUUAGAGGGACUAGUCGAUUUUGUGCGACUGGAAGUUUGAGGCAAUAACA